rnacentral:tRNA from 1 species
GCGGGGGUAACUCAGUUGGUAGAGUAUUAGCUUCCCAAGCUGAGAGUCGCGGGUUCGAGUCCCGUCUCUCGCU